UCCCAGACUCCUACGGGAGGCAGCAGUGAGGAAUAUUGGUCAAUGGGCUUACGCCUGAACCAGCCAAGUCGCGUGAGGGAAGACUGCCCUAUGGGUUGUAAACCUCUUUUGUCAGGGAGCAAUUGGCGCUACGUGUAGCGUUAUCGAGAGUACCUGAAGAAAAAGCAUCGGCUAACUCCGUGCCAGCAGCCGCGGUAAUACGGAGGAUGCGAGCGUUAUCCGGAUUUAUUGGGUUUAAAGGGUGCGCAGGCGGAGGUGCAAGUCAGCGGUCAAAUUGCGGGGCUCAACCCCGUACUGCCGUUGAAACUGCAUCCCUUGAGUGCGCGAGAAGUAUGCGGAAUGCGUGGUGUAGCGGUGAAAUGCAUAGAUAUCACGCAGAACUCCGAUUGCGAAGGCAGCAUACCGGCGCCCAACUGACGCUGAAGCACGAAAGCGUGGGUAUCGAACAGGAUUAGAUACCCGCGUAC
rnacentral:rRNA from 1 species